rnacentral:tRNA from 1 species
GCCCCGGUAGCUCAGCUGGAUAGAGCAGCGGUUUCCUAAACCGUUGGUCGCAGGUUCAAGUCCUGCCCGGGGUA